GUGGGAAUAGCUCAGUGGUACAGCACGUGCUUAGCAUGCAUGAGAUCCUGGGUUCAAUUUUCAGUACCUAAA
rnacentral:tRNA from 1 species